rnacentral:rRNA from 1 species
CGUAGGGUGCGAGCGUUAAUCGGAAUUACUGGGCGUAAAGUGUGCGCAGGCGGCUGAGCAAGUCGAGUGUGAAAUCCCCGGGCUUAACUUGGGAAUGGCGCUCGAAACUACUUGGCUGGAGUGUGGCAGAGGGGGGUGGAAUUCCACGUGUAGCGGUGAAAUGCGUAGAGAUGUGGAGGAACACCAAUGGCGAAGGCAGCCCCCUGGGCCAACACUGACGCUCAUGCACGAAAGCGUGGGGAGCAAACAGGAUUAGAUACCCUGGUAGUCCACGCCCUAAACGAUGAUGACUAGUUGUUGGGGGAGUUAAAUCCCUUAGUAACGCAGCUAACGCGCGAAGUCAUCCGCCUGGGGAGUACGGUCGCAAGAUUA